CUCAUCUCAAAGACAAUUAAUAGCCUGUGGUCUCCACAUAAACAGCAACAAGACAAGGACGGGCAGGCACCGGAGAGCCAAGCAGCAGAUCUGCUGGGAAGUGGUCAGAUUUUCGGAGCCCUUAAGGAAGUUCUGUACCUUUUGAAUGGUGUUCAGAGAAUCAAGAGUGUUCAACAUCAUUUGCAAUAACUCAGUGGGAUCUGAAGGACUGAGCCUCUGGUUGGGACCCUCCACUGCCCUGAGUUCUGGACCUACCAUUACCACUGUCUCUACAACAUCAGCACUCAGACUUAGGGUGAUCUCCCAGUCUAUCAGGUACAGAGUACUUCAUUAUGUGCACGACCAGAAAUGCUUAAAUGGAUGA
rnacentral:lncRNA from 1 species